AUUGAACGCUGGCGGCAGGCUUAACACAUGCAAGUCGAGCGGAGCGAGGGUGCUUGCACCUUAGCUUAGCGGCGGACGGGUGAGUAAUGCUUAGGAAUCUGCCUAUUAGUGGGGGACAACAUUCCGAAAGGAAUGCUAAUACCGCAUACGCCCUACGGGGGAAAGCAGGGGAUCUUCGGACCUUGCGCUAAUAGAUGAGCCUAAGUCGGAUUAGCUAGUUGGUGGGGUAAAGGCCUACCAAGGCGACGAUCUGUAGCGGGUCUGAGAGGAUGAUCCGCCACACUGGGACUGAGACACGGCCCAGGCUCCUACGGGAGGCAGCAGUGGGGAAUGGUGGACAAUGGGCGGAAGCCUGAUCCAGCCAUGCCGCGUGUGUGAAGAAGGCCUUUUGGUUGUAAAGCACUUUAAGCGAGGAGGAGGCUACUUAGAUUAAUACUCUGGGAUAGUGGACGUUACUCGCAGAAUAAGCACCGGCUAACUCUGUGCCAGCCGCCGCGGUAA
rnacentral:rRNA from 1 species